AGGGUUAAUCUUCUGGAACUGAACAGCUGCUCGCAGAUUUAGUGCGGCUCCAGAUCCCCCCGAUGUCCCCAUACACCAUCGAGCCUCCCUGGACUCAGCCCUGGCCACCUAUCGUUCAGGUGCAGAACGGUCUUUCGGAAGCAAAGUACAUACGCUUUACAUUUACUAAUGUAAUGUAUUUAAUGAUUUAAUUAAAUUCACAUCAACGUUACUUAAGUCUUAUUUAGUUUUAUA